rnacentral:rRNA from 1 species
UACGUAGGGGGCGAGCGUUGUCCGGAGUUACUGGGCGUAAAGGGCCUGUAGGCGGUGAACUGCGUCCGUGGUGACAGCGCUUCGCUCAACGAAGGGAGGGCCACGGAGACGAGUUGACUUGAGGGCCAGAGAGGGACAUGGAACUCCGGGUGGAGUGGUGAAAUGCGUAGAGAUCCGGAAGAACACCAAAGGCGAAGGCAAUGUCCUGGCUGGUACCUGACGCUGAGGGGCGAAAGCGAGGGGAGCGAACGGG